CCAGAAGUUCUUGAGAGCCUUUUGACUGCAAUUUCUUUGCCAUCUUCUAAUGUACCCUUGUAGACUGGGCCAUACCCGCCUUGUCCAAGUUUAUUUUCUUCAGAAAAAUGUUCUGUAGCUUUAUGCAAGAUAUCUAAGCGGAUCAAAUGGAAAUCAUUUGAUUGAACCUUCUGGUCAUCAUCUCCUAUGUUUUCUCGACCAAAGACAAGUGAUUGAAGCUCUUGGAUAUUUUCCUUCCACUCUUUUUUCUUACUCUUCCUUUUCCACAGCGUAUAAGCGCAACAACUGAACAGCAAUAUCCCUAAAAUUGCAGAUAGACUUGAC
rnacentral:misc_RNA from 1 species